ACUCCUACGGGAGGCAGCAGUGGGGAAUAUUGCACAAUGGGGGAAACCCUGAUGCAGCCAUGCCGCGUGUGUGAAGAAGGCCUUCGGGUUGUAAAGCACUUUCAGUAGGGAGGAAGGUAGUGUAGUUAACACCUGCAUUAUUUGACGUUACCUACAGAAGAAGCACCGGCUAACUCCGUGCCAGCAGCCGCGGUAAUACGGAGGGUGCGAGCGUUAAUCGGAAUUACGUGGGCGUAAAGCGCAUGCAGGCGGCCUGUUAAGUCAGAUGUGAAAGCCCGGGGCUUAACCUCGGAAUUGCAUUUGAAACUGGCAGGCUAGAGUCUUGUAGAGGGGUUAGAAUUUCAGGUGUAGCGGUGAAAUGCGUAGAGAUCUGAAGGAAUACCAGUGGCGAAGGCGGCCCCCUGGACAAAGACUGACGCUCAGAUGCGAAAGCGUGGGAGCAAACAGGAUUAGAUACCCCUGGUAGACUGUCA
rnacentral:rRNA from 1 species